GAUCUUCUCCUUCAUGGGAGAUGAUUGAAAGAUGGUUUCGGCUAUCACUUACAGAUGGGCCCGCGGUGCAUUAGCUAGUUGGUGAGGUAACGGCUCACCAAGGCAACGAUGCAUAGCCGACCUGAGAGGGUGAUCGGCCACACUGGGACUGAGACACGGCCCAGACUCCUACGGGAGGCAGCAGUAGGGAAUCUUCCGCAAUGGACGAAAGUCUGACGGAGCAACGCCGCGUGAGUGAUGAAGGCUUUCGGGUCGUAAAACUCUGUUGUUAGGGAAGAACAAGUACAAGAGUAACUGCUUGUACCUUGACGGUACCUAACCAGAAAGCCACGGCUAACUACGUGCCAGCAGCCGCGGUAAUACGUAGGUGGCAAGCGUUAUCCGGAAUUAUUGGGCGUAAAGCGCGCGCAGGCGGUUUCUUAAGUCUGAUGUGAAAGCCCACGGCUCAACCGUGGAGGGUCAUUGGAAACUGGGGAACUUGAGUGCAGAAGAGAAAAGCGGAAUUCCACGUGUAGCGGUGAAAUGCGUAGAGAUGUGGAGGAACACCAGUGGCGAAGGCGGCUUUUUGGUCUGUAACUGACGCU
rnacentral:rRNA from 2 species